AGAGUUUGAUCAUGGCUCAGAACGAACGCUGGCGGCGUGCUUAACACAUGCAAGUCGAACGAGAAAGCUUCCUUCGGGAAGUAAGUAGAGUGGCGCACGGGUGAGUAACGCGUAGGUAAUCUACCCUUAUAACUGGGAUAACAUUGGGAAACUGGUGCUAAUACCGGAUACACUUCUUUACUGCGGGGUAAAGGAGGAAAGGUGGCCUCUUCAUGAAAGCUACCGUAUAGGGAUGAGCCUGCGUACCAUUAGCUAGUAGGCGGGGUAACGGCCCACCUAGGCAACGAUGGUUAGCGGGUCUGAGAGGAUGAUCCGCCACACUGGAACUGGAACACGGACCAGACUCCUACGGGAGGCAGCAGUGAGGAAUAUUGCGCAAUGGGGGAAACCCUGACGCAGCGACGCCGCGUGAGUGAGGAAGGUUUUCGGAUCGUAAAGCUCUGUCAGAAGGGAAGAAGUGUUAUAUGUUUAAUAUGCAUAUAAUUUGACGGUACCUUCAGAGGAAGCACCGGCUAACUCCGUGCCAGCAGCCGCGGUAAUACGGAGGGUGCAAGCGUUGUUCGGAAUUACUGGGCGUAAAGGGCGCGUAGGCGGCUGGAUAAGUCAGAUGUGAAAGUCCAUGGCUCAACUGUGGAAGUGCAUUUGAAACUGUCCGGCUUGAGUAUCGGAGGGGAGUGUGGAAUUCCCGGUGUAGAGGUGAAAUUCGUAGAGAUCGGGAGGAACACCGGUGGCGAAGGCGACACUCUGGACGAAUACUGACGCUGAGGCGCGAAAG
rnacentral:rRNA from 1 species